GACGAACGCUGGCGGCGUGCUUAACACAUGCAAGUCGAACGGAAGGGCCCUGCGUUUGUGGGGUGCUCGAUUGGCGAACGGGUGAGUAACACGUGAGUAACCUGCCCUUGUCUGUGGGAUAUCUUCAGGAAACUGGGGCUCAUACCGGAUAGGAUCUCCUGCUGCAUGGUGGGGGUUGGAGAGUUUCGGCGGUAGUGGAUGGACUCGCGGCUUAUCAGCUUGAUGGUGGGGUAGUGGCUUACCAAGGCUUUGACGGGUAGCCGGCCUGGGAGGGUGACCGGCCACAUUGGGACUGAGAUACGGCCCAGACUCCAACGGGAGGCAGCAGUGGGGAAUAUUGCACAAUGGGCGGAAGCCUGAUGCAGCAACGCCGCGUUCGGGAUGACGGCCUUCGGGUUGUAAACCGCUUUCGAAGGUGACGAAGCGUGCGUGACGGUAAUGGGUAAAGAAGCACCGGCUAACUACGUG
rnacentral:rRNA from 1 species